CUGAGUCACAGGUAGCACUCUAAAUUUUUUUUCUGUACAAUUUUUCUCCUGCAGUUAAUAAUUUAACUCCUAAUUUGCCUUUUUUUUUUUUUUUUUUACCAAGUUAUACAUGCAACUAUCUCUAAUUCAUCUUCAAGCUAGAUCUCCUUUCAACAUCUUCAAAACACAUCAGAUGCGCAAACUGAGGCUGCAAGAAAAUAAAUGACACAUCCAAACCCUCACAUCUAGAAAGUGACAGCAAUGGUGUUGAAUCAAGGCAGCUGGACUCCAGCAAGCACGUGAAAUCCAGUUUCUGCUUUCACUUAGCUAUGGAACUUCCCCACACUUUUAUUUUCUAAGUCAUCUGCAAGGCUUUUGAAAUAAGAAAAUGUACAUACUAAACCCAGGUUUGCUUGGUUUCCCACAGAUCCUAGCUGAAAAUGCUUAAUAAAUAAUUUUGAGUGAUUCAUUCUUCCAAGUCCUGAAAUCUUUGGAAGAGUGACCCAACAAAAAUUCUGGCAGUUGUUUUUAUUAAUGAUGCAUGGGUGGUAAUCACACAGGUUGGAGGAGAGAAGGAUAGAACUGAAAACAAAAA
rnacentral:lncRNA from 1 species